GCAGCCGUGACUGUCUGGUUACGGCGUUCGCUUUGUAAGCGAAUGAUCCUGGGUUCGAUUCCCAUCUGCUCCA
rfam:Culex pipiens quinquefasciatus supercont3.130 genomic scaffold, whole genome shotgun sequence.